UGGGGCGAGGCCAGCUGCAAGCUAAUAGGCUUUAGGGAGCAGGUCCUCGGCCCUGCGGUUUGCUUGGCAGUCCAGUCCCGGUCUGGCCGCCCCGCCACACAGCAAGGAUGCCCCUGGAGUUCCGGAGAGGCCGAAAGAGGCAGUUUGAACACAUCAUCCCUGGCCUUCUCCCUGCAGCCAGCAUCGCGCCAAAGGCAGCUGUGCCCCGCACACCUCCUCCACGCAGCCCCAAUCCCUCCCCAGAGAGACCAAGGUCCGCCCUGGCUGCGGCCAUUCUGGCAACAACGUUGACGGGCCGGACCGUUGCCAUUCCUCAGCCUCGCCGCAGAUCCCACUCCGAGAGUGACACGACCUACAAUGAAAAGGACAGUUUCAUCGAGCCCUAUGCCACCACCUCGGAGCUGAGGCCUCCACCGCAGUGGCAGAAUGAGACGGGAAGAUCUUUGCCGUCCUUUGAAAUGCUGGGCUACGAGGACAAAGAGGACACUGACACACACCUGUCAUCCAGCCACAAGGACGCCAGUGUUCCCAGAGAAGAGGAGGGUCUCAGCAGUGCCCUGUAUGCCCUGCCCCACAGAAAUCAGAUUCCAUCGUCAUAUGGGACGGACAGUGAAGAUGAGGCAAAUAUUUCUGAACAAGAUGGGUUUCCAGGAUCACCUCUUAUACCAGAGAGCACACGAGAAAAAGAUGGUAAACAUUCUCUUCUGAAUUUAAAGGAUGAAAAGCCACCGUUAUGUGAGAAACCUCCACCUUCUCCAGAUAUAACUGGUAGAACACGUCAAAGAUGUAUAGAAAGAACCAAAGAAAAAUUCGAGAAAUUAAAAGAAGAAAAUUUGCAUCUAAACAAUGCAAAUCAAACCCUUAGUCUUGAACUUAACUUAAUGAAGCAAGCAAUGAAAGAACUACAGUUAAAACUUAAAAGGAUGGAAAAAGAGAACAGAAAGCGGAGAGAGGUUGAGAAAGCAUCAUCUCAGGAAGUAGUCGCUGCCCCUGAAUUACAUUAUCUAAGAAAACAAGCUCAAGAACUGGUGGAUGAAAAUGAUGGGUUGAAAAUGACUGUCCAUUGUUUAAACGUAGAACUGAGUAGAUAUCAAACCAAAUUCAGGCAUUUAUCCAAGGAAGAGAGUUUAAAUAUUGAAGGCCUCCCCUCAAAGGGCCCUACACCACCCUGGUUGUUGGAUAUGAAGUACCUGUCCCCCUUGCUGCUGGCCUACGAAGACAGAAUGAAAGAGAAGGAUGAGCUCAAUGCCAGCCUUCAGGAGGAAAUGAGAACGUUUAAGAUGCGAGUGCAAGAAGUGAUAAAAGAAAAUGAAGAAUUGCACCAAGAGUUAAAUAAGAGUAACCCUGUCACCACUGAGGAUAGGCGUCAGCUGCAGACUCAAGCAGAACUGGUUUUAGAGGAAAACAAGUUGUUGAUAGAGCAGUUGGCGAUUCAGCAAAGAAAAGCCAGGGACACCCACCAGGAGCACGUCCAGGAAGUUUCUAAACUGACUAAGCAGUUAAUGCUUCUGGAGACUAAAGCACAGAGCCAAGAAAAGGAGCUAAAUGAAAAUAAGGAGCAACUGGAAAUUGUACGUGCCAAAUGCCAAGAACUAAAAACACACUUGGACAGCAAAGUGGCGAUGGAAGUUCACACUUCCAUUGUAAAUGAAUUGAAGAGCCAGUUGCAGAAGGAAGAAGAGAAAGAAAAUGCCGAGAUGGAAGAGUUAAUGGAAAAGUUGAUGGUCUUGCAAAUGCAGAAAAAGAGCCUGUUGAUAGAGAAGAACAAUCUGAUGGCUACAAAUAAGGCACUGGAAGCCGAACUUGAGAAAGCACAGAAAAUAAACAGGAGAUUUCAAAAGAAAAUCGAUGUCCUCAAAAAGCAGGUGGAAAAGGCCAUGAAGAAUGAAAUGUCUGCUCACCAGUACCUGGCAAAUCUUGUAGGCCUGGCAGAGAACGUAACCCAGGAACGUAACAGUCUUAGGUAUUUGGCGAAAUAUCUAGAAAGCAAGAAUUAUGGCAUUCUCAACAAAGUCAUAGAAGGCCACAUUCAUGUGGGAAUGUUGGAGGAAAAGUUCGAGGGGUACAGGAAGCAGGCAGCCCUGGAACUGGGUGACAUCAAUCACUGCCUGGCAGAGCAGCGGGAAGACUUCGCUAGCAAGACAGCUCAGUACCAGCAGGAGGUGAGGUACCUCCACCGGGUGCUGCAGGAGAAACAGGAUGUCCUGGAUGAGGCGCUGAAGCAGAAAAGAGAAGUGGAAGGCGAGCUCGAGAUUGUCUGGGAGUCCACCUCCAAGGAGAACCAAAGGAUCCGAGAGCUUCUCCAGGCUGUGCUGGAGAGGGCAGGCCCGGGGGACACCCCCAGAGCUUUGGAGGACCCCCGCAUGGACACCGACUUGCCAGGAGACAGGCUGGACAGCUGCAGCUUCAGCUACUGUGACAUGAGGCCACCCCCCACCGCCCACCAGGGUCUGCGGGAGCUCCUGGGCUAGAGCCCCCUCGGCGGAGGCACUGCCUUCGCGGGACAGGGCAGGGCAGGCCCACCGCCGCUGCAGCAUUUCUUCUCCUCAGGGCAAGGAAGGGAUAACCUAUUUCAAGGAGGACAUGGAACCCAGGUUUUACAUUUUGCUUUAUUUCUUAAACGUUCCCCUGAAGCACAUUUAGGCAGAGCACGUCCUCUGACCCCACUGCCACUGAGCGGGGCUCUGGGAGACCCGUUGCUCAUGCUGACGGGUGACCUGAUGAGCUGACCUGUCUCCGGACUCCUAGACCUGCACCAGGAAGCACCGGCGGAAACAGCAGACAGGAUGGAACACCCAGCCCGCAUGACUGAUGCGUGUGUUUAACCCAACAAGCCAUCCACGGAGGCAGCAGCCUUGAUUUCUGUGCAUUACGUCUAGGUGGUGUUUUAUUGUUUGGUAAAAAAACAGGUGCUGGUCCUCGUGCCCCAGUAAGUUGUAGAAAAUCUGUUCUGCCUCCACUCCCAGCCCUUGUCUGUCUGCCCACCUGGGAGGGAACUUCUGCGGCGAAGCCGCCCUCACCCCUCGCCCCCUCGAGAGCCUUGACCCUGAGCACCAAGGCAGGGUCCCUGCCCCCACCGCCACCCCCGAGAAGGGUGCCAGGGCCUUGGUCCUGCUCCACCCUGUGCCUCCUCCUCAGGUAGGUCACCCCCGCCUCGCAGGACCGUUCACGGGGACGUCCCACCUGCCUCGGGCUGCUUGUCCCCGGCCUGCUGGAAGAAGGCAGGGACAUCAGCUACCAAGGGCCCUAAACAGUGAUACGUAGGGUAGAAUUCUGCCGCAUCCUCAGACAAAACCCCUCAGAGCCACGACCUGUGUCCUUUCAGGUGUGCAGAGAGGCCUGGCAUUGGUCCCGGGUCCCAGGGAUGGAAAGACUCACCGGGACUUCAACCUCUGUGUGGUCUCCUAGGAGAUGACUUUGAUGUUAUUUCAGGGGAGCUUGGGCCACCUGCCUAACACCCUGCAGACAGGCUGGAAGGUGGCAGCAGCCCCGUGAGCCUCCUGCCUCCAGACCUGCGCACAGGGGGCAGCUUGUCCAUGGGUCGCUGCUGUUGCCACAUCACCUGGAGAACCACAUUUGUUAACCCUGCCUUUUUCUGGCCUUCAGAGAGAGUAUUUUAUUCCCUUGAGAAAUGAAUGUUUUUCCACUUCUGCUCUAUCACAUGUUCCCAACAUACUUUGCAAGUUCCGUGACCCCUGAGCCUCCUCAUGGCCUCCCACUUGGUGCUACAUGAAACAGGCCAGUGAGCUCCGCGUCCAGGUUGCAAAGGAGGGCAGAGCAGGCGAGGUAGUGAACGACAGUGGAGCUGAGAGGCACCAAGCCCAAGCCUGAGCCGGAACACCCUGCCUUGCAGAAUGGACAGGGUCCCAGGGGCUGGUGAAGGGGCUGUGUGAGCAGCAGUGGGGCUGUGGGCUAAAGGUUAGGAUGAGUAACAAGGCCUGACUGCUGGGAGGAGGCUCCCAUUCCUCUGCAUCCUGCAGGUCUCCAGUCUGAGCAGGAGCCGGUCCCGUUUUCUCUCAGUCCUGGUGAGUCUUGGUGCUGGUGCUAGAAAGGUCCUGAUCAGGAUGAAAGUAACCCAGGGCAAACAGGAACCCAUGUGAGCCCUGCCGCCUUUGGCAAGGUUUAAGAGCCACCCUGGGGGGAGUUCCUGUCGUGGCACAGUGGAAACAAAUCCAACUAGGAACCAUGAGGUUUCGGGUUCGAUCCC